rnacentral:lncRNA from 1 species
GAUUUUUUUAGUCACAAAUAUUGAAUUUUAAAAUCACAUUUUAAUAGUUAGUCACAAAAAAUCAAAUAAUUGGUCACAUACACCCAAACACUCGAUCCUCCACCAAUAUUUGGUCACAAAUCGACCAAAUAAUUGGUCACAGACACUCUUUGUCCCAUUCCGUCGCUGUGCCGCCACCUCCACCAUCACCAACAAUAACAAUAACACAACACUACUGCCACUAACAUCACCACCUUACCACUAUCACGACAACCACCACAGUCGCCACCAUCACCACCACACCAACACCAACUCAUCAUGCCUUCAGCAAACAAGACUUUUCCCUUCCAUAGUUCCCAUGGCAACACUGCCCAAGAAGUAUGACCGUCACAACACCACCACUCAACAACCACCUCACCACCACAACCAACACUAAAACAACCAUUUGCAAAAUGGAAAACAAGUAAAAUCACCCACAACUAACAUCAAAACAAUAACAAUAGAGAAUCCUGUGUUUUGGACCGGAAGGGUUUGGCCAUGUGCCAGGAUCACAUUGUAGGCUCCAACAGCUGGCCGGUGAAAGAACAAAUUACAGCUCUGGAACACUGCAGCAGCAUUCCCAAAAAUGAAGUCGAUGGUACCGUAUAUGUUACAUUUGCCAUAAAAUUGAUGAUUGGAGACUGCGUCUAAUGUAUCCUGCUAUACCAAAAUGCUACAACUAUACAAAAUGGAUUGAUUUGAGGCUAUAUAUAGUGCCACAACUUGUUUUCUUCGAGGGCCUACUUUGAUCUCAAACCCAAUAUCUCUUGCUAUAAACCCAUUUCCUAUUAUUCCUAACAACAAGAAAACUACUAUCAAUUUACCUAUAUGAUAGCAAUGUCUUUAGAUCUCCUAAACUAAAAGUUCCAUGGAAAAGGGCUAUUGUUUGGGGGAACGUUAAUUAGAUCUGCGCUGCAGUGACCGCUGUUCGCAUUGAGCAACGAUGGAGAUGACGGCCAUGGAUGGAUCCGCAGUCGCAAGAGUGAAAUUACUCCGCGACUAGCGGGGAUUCGAGUUCCUUCUGGUCGAGGAUUCACGCUCUUUCUAGGGUGAUAUAGAUUAAAGGUAGGUGAUGGGCUAGGCGAUGAAGGGGAAGAUCAAGAGUUCGUGAUUGCACAGGAUUCGUACAGAGAGAAUGGAGGGGACGAUUCACUGUGGGGAGAGAGAGGGAGGGGGGGAUAGUUGUGGAGAUAAAUUAGGGUUUUAAUAGAUGGGGACCUGAU